rnacentral:rRNA from 1 species
GACGAACGCUGGCGGCGUGCUUAACACAUGCAAGUCGAACGGACAGGCCCUGCUUUUGUGGGGUGCUCGAGUGGCGCACGGGUGAGUAACACGUGAGUAACCUGCACUUGACUUUGGGAUAACUUCAGGAAACUGGGGCUCAUACCGGAUAGGAGCUCCUGCUGCAUGGUGGGGGUUGGAAAGUUUCGGCGGUUGGGGAUGGACUCGCGGCUUAUCAGCUUGUUGGUGGGGUAGUGGCUUACCAAGGCUUUGACGGAUAGCCGGCCUGAGAGGGUGACCGGCCACAUUGGGACUGCGAUACGGCCCAGACUCCUACGGGAGGCAGCAGGGGGGAAUAUUGCACAAUGGGCGGAAGCCUGAUGCAGCAACGCCGCGUGCGGGAUGACGUCCUUCGGGUUGUAAACCGCUUUCGCCGGUGACGAAGCGUGAGUGACGGUAAUGGGUAAAGAAGCACCGGCUAACUACGUG